rnacentral:rRNA from 1 species
ACCUACGGGGGGCAGCAGUGAGGAAUAUUGGUCAAUGGGCGGAAGCCUGAACCAGCCAUGCCGCGUGCGGGACGACGGCCCUACGGGUUGUAAACUGCUUUUCCGGGGGAAGAAUAAGGCCCAUGCGUGGGCCGAUGCCGGUACCCCGGGAAUAAGGAUCGGCUAACUCCGUGCCAGCAGCCGCGGUAAUACGGAGGAUCCUAGCGUUAUCCGGAUUUACUGGGUUUAAAGGGUGCGUAGGCGGGCCCCUCAGUCAGCGGUGAAAGUCUGCGGCUCAACCGUAGGAUUGCCGUUGAUACUGGGGGUCUUGAAUUCGGCCAAGGUGGGCGGAAUGCGUGGUGUAGCGGUGAAAUGCUUAGAUAUCACGCAGAACGCCGAUAGCGAAGGAAGCUCACCGGGCCGACAUUGACGCUGAGGCACGAAAGCGUGGGGAUCAAACAGGAUUAGAUACCCGAGUAU